ensembl:lncRNA
CUUGCAUCUAAAUAGGACAAUGAGAGCGAAUUGUGGUCAAUGGAGUACGGGAAAAGUGAUGUACAGCACCUCCAAGUCUCAUCAUAGGAUGUUCCAUGUGAUCGUCCACCCUCUCAUGUGCCUCAUCAUUUACUAGUCAGGACUGAAAGUACUAAAAGACCAAAUCCAGCCUGUACCUCAUUUCUACUCAUCAAGGUCAAUUCUCAUUCUCCACGCUUCUCUUCACAGUGCCCUUCCUCCACGUGGAAUACUUUUUCAUGUCUGAGCACUCUGAAGGAUACCCAUCCUGAAAGGCCCUGCAUUGGGACCUACUCAUUGAUCACUACCUUCUUUGAAGAAAAAGUGAAGGCUGUACGGAUAAAGAAGAAGGAAAAUGAAGCAACAGCAGAGGAAACCAGGACCUGAUGGGAAAUGAGGAGUUAGGUCUUUUCUUGAAGUAAGAUUUUAGGAAGAUCCAUGUGAUGCAAAAUAGAUGACAUCAAUGCAGCUUUGGAUGAAAUUGAGAGAAGGACCCAUCCGCUCCAAGGUUCCAGUGUUCCUUGGCAACCACCAGAAAUGACUUCACAGAAGCCUAAACCCAGGGCCAAUUGAUCUUCAAAGACCCCUUACACUCUGUUCUUGGUUGUUCCAGCUUCAUCCUGGUCUGAAUCUCCGUCCUAUGAAUUGCCUUUCUGGGUUUCCUUCCUCAAGAGAAAAAUGGGGUUACUAAUGCCAACAGGAAGAAAUGAUAAGAAAACUAAACAUGGAGGUAGAAGAAUUGUUCCAACCCUGAGACUGCCAUUUAAUGAGUGUGUGAACUGGAGAAAGUCACUUACUAUCUCUCAGUCUGAAUUUACUCAUCCUACGACAUGAACUUGGCAAGGUACUAGUGAAAACUAGACUCCCAAGUCCAGCACUAGAAUUAGAAAAUCAGAAGGAGGAUGUGUGGGACAGGAGUUGAGGGACACAAAGAGUAAGAAUCCACCAGACACUUAUUAUCGUAUAUUCUGCUGUGCUUAAGUGCUCUACAAACAACAUGUGACAACAGUGAAGAAAGUUUACCUGUGAACAUCAUUUUGAGGAUCUUAUGUUGAACCGAAAUAUGGUUGAAAAACCAGCCUUCAAGAAGACAACUGAAAACAAGGGUGACUCAAGAGACAGUUGGUUUAGUCUUCAAAGGUAAAUAUGGAAGAUGCUCAUGAUUUUGGAAGCUGAGCAGUUUAGCAAGCUACAAUGGUUGGAUGGGGAAGGGGGCAGGCUGCCAGAAAUAUCAUGGUCUUCCAGCAGCAAUAAAGUGUUUGAAACACAAAUUUUACUUUAAAGUGAAAUGUUUUGUUGUAGGAGAUGUCAAGAAUUGUCAAAGUGGGCAAGGUUCAAAUCUAACACAGUGGCAAUUUAGUUUUUAUUUAGUUAGAGAAAAAAUAAGUAAAGACUUCUUUAAAAAGUUGGCACAAGGAGGAGUAAAUGAAGUUUUACUCCCUAGUUUCUAAAAGAAAAGGCUUAGUCUCAAAACCACGUUAUCUACUUGCCCUCUGGAGCUUUGCUGUUCUAUAGAGUGGCAAUCUGGCCCACUGUGUGUCGCCAUCUUUCAGCU